UACGAAGGGGGCUAGCGUUGCUCGGAAUGACUGGGCGUAAAGGGCGCGUAGGCGGCUCAUACAGUCAGGCGUGAAAUUCCUGGGCUCAACCUGGGGACUGCGCUUGAGACGUGUGGGCUUGAGUGGGGAAGAGGGUCGUGGAAUUCCCAGUGUAGAGGUGAAAUUCGUAGAUAUUCGGAAGAACACCAGUGGCGAAGGCGACUCACUGGACACGUAUUGACGCUGAGGUGCGAAAGCGUGGGGAGCAAACAGG
rnacentral:rRNA from 1 species